rnacentral:rRNA from 1 species
GAGCAACCUGCCCUGGACUCUGGGAUAAGCGCUGGAAACGGCGUCUAAUACUGGAUAUGAGCUCCUUCCGCAUGGUGGGGGUUGGAAAGAUUUUUCGGUCUGGGAUGGGCUCGCGGCCUAUCAGCUUGUUGGUGAGGUAAUGGCUCACCAAGGCGUCGACGGGUAGCCGGCCUGAGAGGGUGACCGGCCACACUGGGACUGAGACACGGCCCAGACUCCUACGGGAGGCAGCAGUGGGGAAUAUUGCACAAUGGGCGGAAGCCUGAUGCAGCAACGCCGCGUGAGGGAUGACGGCCUUCGGGUUGUAAACCUCUUUUAGCAGGGAAGAAGCGAAAGUGACGGUACCUGCAGAAAAAGCGCCGGCUAACUACGUGCCAGCAGCCGCGGUAAUACGUAGGGCGCAAGCGUUAUCCGGAAUUAUUGGGCGUAAAGAGCUCGUAGGCGGUUUGUCGCGUCUGCUGUGAAAUCCCGAGGCUCAACCUCGGGCCUGCAGUGGGUACGGGCAGACUAGAGUGCGGUAGGGGAGAUUGGAAUUCCUGGUGUAGCGGUGGAAUGCGCAGAUAUCAGGAGGAACACCGAUGGCGAAGGCAGAUCUCUGGGCCGUAACUGACGCUGAGGAGCGAAAGGGUGGGGAGCAAACAGGCUU